UGGUUGGUGGUUCAGCGGUAGAAUUCUCGCCUUCCACGUGGGAGAACCGAGUUCGAUUCCCGACCAGUCAC
rnacentral:tRNA from 1 species